UACGUAGGGUGCGAGCGUUGUCCGGAAUCAUUGGGCGUAAAGCGCGUGUAGGCGGCCCGGUAAGUCCGCUGUGAAAGUCGGGGGCUCAACCCUCGAAAGCCGGUGGAUACUGUCGGGCUCGAGUGCGGAAGAGGCGAGUGGAAUUCCUGGUGUAGCGGUGGAAUGCGCAGAUAUCAGGAGGAACACCUAUAGCGAAGGCAGCUUGCUGGGACGUUACUGACGCUAAGGCGCGAAAGCGUGGGGAGCGAACAGG
rnacentral:rRNA from 1 species